ACUCCGCCACCAUGUUUGAGGCACGUCUGAUCCAGGGGCUCCAUCCUGAAGAAGGUGCUGGAGGCUCUCAAAGACCUCAUCAAUGAGGCCUGCUGGGACAUCAGCUAGGGCAGCAUGAACCUACAGAGCAUGGACUCGUCUCAUGUCCGUCUGGUGCAGCUUACUCUGCGCUCCGAAGGCUUCGACACAUACCGCUGCGAUAGCAACCUGGCCAUGGGCGUGAACCUCACCAGCAUGUCCAAAAUUCUAAAAUGUGCUGGUAAUGAAGACAUCAUUGCAUUAAGGUCUGGAGAUAAUGCUGACACCUUAGUGCUAGUAUCUGAAGCACCACAUCAAGAGAAAGUUUCAAACUAUGAAAUGAAGUUAAUUGACUUAGAUGUCGAGCAACUUGGAAUCCCAGAACAGGAGUACAGCUGUGUAGUAAAGAUGCCAUCUGGUGAAUUUGCCCGUAUAUGCCGAGACCUUAGCCAUAUUGGAGAUGCUGUUGUGAUAUCCUGCGCAAAGGAUGGGGUGAAGUUUUCUGCCAGUGGAGAGCUUGGCAAUGGAAACAUUAAGUCGUCACAAACAAGUAAUGUUGAUAAAGAAGAGGAAGUGGUAGCCAUAGAGAUGAAUGAACCAGUUCAGCUAACUUCUGCUCUGAGGUACCUGAACUUUUUCACAAAAGCCACUCCACUGUCUCCUACAGGAACACGCAGUAUGUCUGCAGAUGUACCUCUUGUUGUAGAGUAUAAAAUUGCUGACAUGGGACACUUGAAGUAUUUAUUUGACUCCUAAGAUUGAAGAUGAAGAAGGAUCUUAGGCAUUGUUAUAAACUGAGAAAAUUAAACCUUUGAAGAUUGCUUCUGAGAUGCCAGCGUGUUCUGAAGUUUUUUCUGUCACCAAGUUUGUAUGC